UGGGGAAUAUUGGACAAUGGGGGGAACCCUGAUCCAGCCAUGCCGCGUGUGUGAAGAAGGCCUUAUGGUUGUAAAGCACUUUAAGCGAGGAGGAGGGUACUGGUAUUAAUACUACCAGCUACUGGACGUUACUCGCAGAAUAAGCACCGGCUAACUCUGUGCCAGCAGCCGCGGUAAUACAGAGGGUGCGAGCGUUAAUCGGAUUUACUGGGCGUAAAGCGUGCGUAGGCGGCUAAUUGAGUCGGAUGUGAAAUCCCCGAGCUUAACUUGGGAAUUGCAUUCGAUACUGGUUCGCUAGAGUGUGGGAGAGGAUGGUAGAAUUCCAGGUGUAGCGGUGAAAUGCGUAGAGAUCUGGAGGAAUACCGAUGGCGAAGGCAGCCAUCUGGCCUAACACUGACGCUGAGGUACGAAAGCAUGGGGAGCAAACAGG
rnacentral:rRNA from 1 species